AUCUGUUUUCUUGUUUUUGUUUCUUGGCUAGAUUUUGGCUUGUGUUGGAGGUAUGCAGAUGUAUCUUUUGUUUUUUGCUGUUGUUUCUACGAUGAGUUUUAGUGAUUGAUCACUGUUCCAUGUCUGAUCCUGUUGAUAGGACCUUGCUUGUCCUGUUUGACUUAAGUAAUUACACUUAUACACGUGGAAUUGCACUUGAGUUAGUAAGAUUUGUUGACCAAUGUUCCUGUCUUGUUCUGCCUUACGGAUUAGUCCUGCUCUUCUGGCUCUUGAAUAGCAACUUCAUAUUUUAGAAUGCAUGUCAUCGGAUGGCUCUCUUUUCUUUUUGAAAAUGAGCCUUCCUCACAAGUGUUUAUAGUGCACACUUAGAUUACUUAAUUAUGACUGAAAUGUUUGAAUUGAAAUAUUACUAAGCUUUAGAUUGGACUUUACCAUAUUUUAGUGUGAUACAGGCAAGGAAUUCUAGUUAUUAGGAAAAGAAAACUGGCAAACUUUGUUAGCUUCUGUGGUGGAAACGUAAGUCAUGGCCUGAACCAGUGAUUGAGCACCUGAGGGGAACCCAGGGGAGCUCAGGUGCAUUCAAUGCAUCUGAGUGAGUGGAAAGGGUGGAGCCAGGAUCCACCCCUUCCCAGAUCUCAUUUAAGGGUUAGCAGGGGGAGGUGAAGCUGUCUUGCUGGAAGUCCUUGCCUGCUGGAGGCCUUCUGAUGCUCUUCUCAGGUAGGCUGAAGAUCUUACCUUGUGCUGCUUUCCCAAGCAAAUGUGCUGAAGCUUUGUGCACAAGUAUGCUCCACUCAAUGGGGACAUCACAAGGGGUCACAGUUAUUGUGAAAGGUACAAGGGCCGUGUCUUCUUCCAAAACGAAGUAAUACCUGUAGAUGUGGAUAUGAAUCCAAGGAGAAACAAGAAGAAAUUCAGAAUUUCCUGACUGGAGUUCCACAGUGACUCCUAGAGAGCACGCUCUCUCUUACCUUCUUGCAUGUUUCGGUCUCCAUCUGUGUAAGAUGAAGAUACAACGAUUCUGAUCAACCCUGAAGAUUGUCUGUCACUGGCAAUUUCAGAUUGUAAAUCAGUCAUGGCAAUAAGGACAUGUGAAGAGGAGGAUCAAAAGAAGUUACUCAGGGCUGGAUGAGAUCCUGUUCCAUGAAAAGUGUUAGAUUCUGAUAACCAGCCCUAAACUGGUUCUAAAUGGAUUGCAUGCAGCUGGGAUCCAGAAAGGAGCACACUUUCCUUUGAAACUGUGAGAGAGAAGCCUAAGCAAAAGUCUGGAUCUUCAAGCAUGGCUUUCAGGAUUUUAGACUGAGACCUGUCAAAUAAGGACUUUUAAAGCGGUUACAAAAUUCUCUUCAAGACAUCAAAGUAACUGUUUGAGCAGGGCCUGCAGCAGUUUGCUUUCAAGAUCUCCACCAAGUACCUUGUAUAGUGCUGAUGGGAAAGCAUGAUUUUUCCUUCUGGAUCUGUUCUGAGGCAGCCAACAGAGAAGGAGUUAACUGCUGUCCUCUUUUCUGCUGUUCCUGGCUGGAGUUGCUGGCAUCCCAUCUGGUCCAGGCUGUCCGAGUUCUUCCAGCUGUCUCUGGGGAAGGACCGCAAGGAAAUGAAAUUCACCUUCGCACUCCAACGUGACAGUCUGAUCCAGCCAUAGAAGGGAUGGGGAAUGCACACUGUACUCACGAAAACACUAAGGAAACUCAGCAGUGUAAGUGGUCAAGAGAAAUGAGACAUUCUUUGAGCCAAGCUGGCUUUAUUCCUGGUCUUUAUAAACCCACAUAAAAGCUCUCUGGAGUUUAAAGUGACUAUCAUGUUAGUUCUGUUGUGCUCUUAAGAACAAAGUCCUUUCAAAGGUGUUCUGUUUUGUUUUCCAAAAUAUAAAUGUCACAUCUUUCUGGAGUGAAUCCUUUCUUCCUUUAUUUGCAACAACUGUGAAAAUGUCCAAGGGUCACAGCCUGCAAGCACUCCUUGUGAACAAAUUAAUUACCCAGGCUUCUCCCAGAGAGGUUAUGCAGAGGGGUAAGUGGUCAGGAAGCUGAGCCUUUGGCCCGGAGAACCCAUUCUGUCUUGGAAAGGCACUAAUAAUGCAAUUAAAAAAGCCAGUAACAGAACCAAUACCACAGACAGCACAGUUAAGCAGGGAGUGGACCUGUGAGAUAGAAAAGCCACACAGUUUCUUCAUCUCUACUCUAGCAGCUUAAUACACAAAAGAGGCUGAUAAAUCUGGCAGCCUGUCCACAUAUUUUCCACUUACUGAAAUGAAAUGUGUGUGACUGUUUCUCCAAGCUGCCUCGGGAGUAUCUACCUAUUAAGUUUCAACGUAAGAUACUUCCCUGAGAUUUUCCACUCCUCAAAAAACUGUUUUCCAUGCCAGCAGCUGCCACAGGAGUAUCUGAGACUGCAGCUCCCCCCAGUACUUGGAAAGCCUGAGAAACAGGCAUCCACAUGCAUGCUGCAGUGCAGAGGUGCAAGACAAAGGGGUGAGUGACCACAUGCAGGCUGCUCACAGCACUGUGUUCUCCACAUGGCCCUAUCCCACAGGACAAGUGCUUUCACAGGAGGCUGAACCUGGCCUAGGGGAGUGGCUUUGUUCUUCCUGGCCGGGAGAAAAGCCGUGUAGGAAAAGCAGAGGUGCAGAUUGUAUUAGUUCUCAGAGAAGGAGACUGCUGUGCUAAGUUGGUGAAAAACCUGCUCCCUGUGAUCUUGUUCUAUAAACCAUGCUGCAGGGUAUUCUUUGAUGAUUAAGAGUGGCUCAUCUCACUGAGCACUCCUGCCAGCUGGUGGCCUGCACUUGAUGUCUGCUUUGCUUAAGUUAAACAGAGGGAAUAGAGUCAAAGGUGGUAAGGAAGAGUGUCAGAAGCUGCUGGGUAGGAUAGGUUGAAUGUGAAAUGGGGCUUGCAGGAUGUGCUGAGAACUCUUUGGUGUAAAGUCAGCAACAUCAGUCAAGCUGUUGCAGAUCCAGAGUUUGGAAGCUGUUGUGUUCAGUCUACAUCAACUAAAAGAACCUAAGUGAAGAAAGUGCCUUCCCUGUAUUACAAAAGCAGCAGCAUAUAUCAGCUUUUGAAGAUGCAGGAACAAAGGCUUCAAGUCACAAAUGCUUUUAAGGUUCUGUUAUAGACCUCUGUUUUAGCUUUUGUUGCUGAUGGUGUUUUAUUUAUUAAAAAGAGAAAUAAGCUUGCUUUCUCCUUGAAGUCUUCUUCCAUGGGUAAUGGGGGGUGAAAACUGGAGUAGCAGACUGUUAGCUGGUAAAACAGAGAUUAAGUCAACUAACACAGAUGUCAGAUGUUGUGAAAUUGGCUUGGAGCUCGGUGUCUUAUUCUUCCACUUUCCCAUUCUUUUAAUGUGUUUCCAGCACCCUCAGUUCCAUUUCAUGCCCAUCACCUAGAGACUUUGCAUUGCUUUGACCAUGCUUUGGUGGGCCCUGUACCUCAGACGUGAGAACGCAGCCUCAGUCAGUUCUGACCAGAAUUCCCUGAAAUGCAAUUUGUGAAGAUGACAUUUCUCCAUGGAGAACAUUCAGUAUAAUGCUGUGGUUUCCAGUUUUCUCCCUUUCUGUAAUUUUGUAUCCACUAUUAACUCAGUCUAUCAUUCUGGGCAGGUGUGUGAUUUUGGUCUGUCCGUUCUGUUUGAUGGGAAAUACAAUACUUUUGCCUUCUUACUAAAUCCUGUGUCAGAAAGAUAAAAGAAAGUUUG